UACGUAGGGUGCGAGCGUUGUCCGGAAUUAUUGGGCGUAAAAGAGCUUGUAGGCGGUCUGUCGCGUCUGCUGUGAAAAUCCGGGGCUCAACCCCGGACUUGCAGUGGGUACGGGCAGACUAGAGUGUGGUAGGGGAGACUGGAAUUCCUGGUGUAGCGGUGAAAAUGCGCAGAUAUCAGGAGGAACACCGAUGGCGAAGGCAGGUCUCUGGGCCACUACUGACGC
rnacentral:rRNA from 1 species